CCGAUUAUCUGCAGCUUUAACCUUAAAAGAGGAAUUAUAGGAGUAAAUUUAUCAGAUAAAAUUAAUUAAAUCAGACGCUUAUCAGAUAAAAUUAAUAAAAUCAGACAACUAAAAGGAGAACAUGUGGAUAGAUUAUUUACUAAGAUUUUCAUAAACAACCCAGGAAAUUCUAAGUGUUCUAUUUUGUAUACAUGUACAUACUGGCAUGAGGCGGGUGAUUCAUACAAUGUACAUUCACCAUCAGUUUUAUGAUUUCAAUAAAUUAUUUUACGGUUUCCAUUCAUGACUCCAAUUUUUCGCAUAAGAUUAUCUCAGAUAGAGCAUGAAGUCUCCAAAAUUCUUAAGAUUUAAGAAGCAAGUUCUGGUAAUUUUAUUUCAAAUGGUUAUCAACUACAUCCUUACAACAAGUACUAAAAACACUAAGAAAUCAUAUUUUCAUAUCAAACUUUACAAGAUAGAUCACCUCAAGUUCAAAUGACUUCUCAUUUAAUUGUUCCGUCAGUUCAGCAACUGU
rnacentral:misc_RNA from 1 species